CCUACGGGUGGCAGCAGUGGGGAAUAUUGGACAAUGGGCGAAAGCCUGAUCCAGCCAUGCCGCGUGUGUGAAGAAGGCCUUCGGGUUGUAAAGCACUUUCAGUGGGGAAGAAAGCCUUGGGGCUAAUACCCUCGAGGAAGGACAUCACCCACAGAAGAAGCACCGGCUAACUCCGUGCCAGCAGCCGCGGUAAUACGGAGGGUGCGAGCGUUAAUCGGAAUUACUGGGCGUAAAGCGCGCGUAGGCGGUCUGAUAAGCCGGUUGUGAAAGCCCCGGGCUCAACCUGGGAACGGCAUCCGGAACUGUCAGGCUAGAGUGAAGGAGAGGAAGGUAGAAUUACCGGUGUAGCGGUGAAAUGCGUAGAGAUCGGGAGGAAUACCAGUGGCGAAGGCGGCCUACUGGCCUGACACUGACGCUGAGGUGCGAAAGCGUGGGUAGCAAACAGGAUUAGAUACCCCGGUAGUC
rnacentral:rRNA from 1 species